rnacentral:rRNA from 1 species
UAGGGAAUAUUGGACAAUGGGGGCAACCCUGAUCCAGCCAUGCCGCGUGAGUGAAGAAGGCCCUCGGGUUGUAAAGCUCUUUUGUCCGGAAAGAAAAGCAUUCGGUGAAUACCCGGAUGUUCUGACGGUACCGGAAGAAUAAGCACCGGCUAACUUCGUGCCAGCAGCCGCGGUAAUACGAAGGGUGCAAGCGUUACUCGGAAUUACUGGGCGUAAAGCGUGCGUAGGUGGUUGUUUAAGUCUGAUGUGAAAGCCCCGGGCUUAACCUGGGAAGUGCAUUGGAAACUGCAGGUCUUGAGUACUGGAGAGGAUGGGGGAAUUCCCGGUGUAGAGGGGAAAUGCGUAGAGAUGCGGAGGAACACCGAUGGCGAAGGCAGCCUCCUGGGAUGACACUGACGCUCAUGCACGAAAGCGUGGGGAGCAAACA